UGCAACCCGACUCCGUGAAGCUGGAUUCGCUAGUAAUCGCGCAUCAGCCAUGGCGCGGUGAAUACGUUCCCGGGCCUUGUACACACCGCCCGUCAAGCCAUGGGAGCCGGGAGCGCUUGAAGUGCGUCGCCGCGAGGCGCGCCCUAGAGCGAGACCGGUGACUGGGGCUAAGUCGUAACAAGGUAAC
rnacentral:rRNA from 1 species